CACGUAGUAUAACUAUAUGGACCUUUCUCUUUUUACGAAGGGGAUUUCCAAUUUAUUUAAAGAAACCGUUGUUCAUAAAAAUAAACGCAGACGCCAUGUAAAAAUAGGUUACUAUUCAUAUAUACAUAAACAUUCAGCAUGCAAGACGGAUUCAAAAUUAUUGACAUUGAUAGGUUGAGGGCUGAAAAUAGCAGACUACGGACCCAAGUCAUUUGUAAUGUUUGCUAUGAGAAAAAUGUAUCGUCAAUUUUUACACCGUGUGGACACUUGGUAUGCUGCUCAGACUGUGCGCCCGCCAUGAUGAAAUGUCCAACAUGUGACAAGGCGGUUAAGAAAUGGAUUGUAGUAAAUUUAAAGUGAAGAACUACCGAGGAUCAUUUGGUCAAUGUGCAGAAUUAUGUACUCGUGCCAUGGCCCUAGUGUCAUGUGAAGAAGCAGUUUUUUAACUUCAAUAAUCUUUUGUAUGUUGUAGUUGCAUCAAGGAAUUUGCUUAUAAAUACAAGUAAAUGUAUAGAUAUUGUACAUACAUGUAUAUAUAACACUAUGUAAAGAAAAUAUCAGAAAUGAAUUCAUCUCUAAUAUGCACAAAAUUUAUGAAUAAAAAGUUUUAAUCAAA